GCCGCCCGCGCCCCGGGUAGACCGGCCGCAGCCCCUUUAGAAGUGCGGGAGGCUUUGACUGCAGCCGAGCCCCAGAGAGGCCUCAUUCUGCCUGUCCUGAAUAGUCCGUCAUUCAAAGCAACGCUUUGAAAUUUGAAAAAGAGAGAGAGGAAAAGAGAGAGAGGAGAGACUGAAAAGCAGAGAGAGAGAAACAGAGACACACAGAGAGACAGGCAGAGACAGAAAGAGAGACAGAGACAGGGAGACAGAGACUGAGACUGAGACAGAAAGAUUCAGACAGAGACUGAGAGAGGCUGUGAGACAGAGACAAACAGUGAGAGAGCUAGAGAAAGAGAAGGAGAGCUUGGAGGAAGGGGAAAAAAAAGCAAAUUCUUUUCUUUGUGAGACUGGGGAGUGUUGGGCAAGGAGCCAGGGGGCUUCAAGAAUGUGAGCGAGGCACCAGGAAGGAGGGGAUCUCUGUGGAGACGCAGCUUCGGACGUGUGGCAUGCACUCUCCUCCUGGUCAUCCGGAGCAAGGGUCUUCAGAGCCCGAGAUGCGCGACGCGCAGGAAGCACCAGAGAGGGUGGCGGGAAGAAAAGGCACCUCCAUCACUUUGAAAUGUCAGAGGAAAUUUGGGCUCGCCCAUCGGCAGCCAGCCAGCACUGCCUGUGCUCCGUGCCAGCCCUUCAGGAAUCUACCUAGAGUCCCCUCUCCAGCAGGGUGGAGUCUAUUAUGGGUCGAUUAGCUGCUCCUUUUCAGCGCAGAUUUAACACUGUCCAAAAGGUGGAGAUUCACCAGAAUGAGAUAUUGC
rnacentral:lncRNA from 1 species